rnacentral:tRNA from 2 species
AGUUAAUGAACUUGUACAAGUAUAUAUUUUGAAAAUAUAAAAAAGAAAUUAUAAUUUUCUAUUAACUU